rnacentral:lncRNA from 1 species
AUGUUUUUUCUUUUCUCUCUCUCUUUUUUUUUUUUUUCCCUAGGCCCAUGUUUUAUACACGUCAUGUUUCCCAGUAAGUUCUUUCUUCCCUCAGUGUGGCAAUUCUGUUGCUGUAUUAUGUAUAUUCCUUUUCUGCAAGCAAGGCAGGGCACAUUACUGAGAACACAUAAGAAUGAGCUUGGUCUAUGGGGAAGAACUACAAGAAAAGACUCUUUUCUUUCCAAAAUGUAUGUGUUAUAUAGCCUACCUAGUAUUCCCUUGCCAGCUCACAGAAAUAGUGGCCUUAAAUGGCUACCAUCCCAUGUUUUCUAUUACAUUAGAGAGAAAACUGCUGUUCACCUUCAUUCAUGGAAGGUAGGAAAUAUCUACAAAGCGGAAGGAGCUCCUGUCUAAUGGACUAUCAAUUUCCUCUAAUAUAGAUUGGAUAGAUGGAUAAUGAAUGGAUAAAUAAUCAGACUUGGAACCAUCACAUGGCUCCAGGAGCUGAAUUCUUAACUUCUGCACCCUUAUCAGACCACAGCUUGGGUAACCUAACACUAGUUUUGGUUUCAAGAGGAUAGCACAAAAACUUUUUUUUUUUUUCAGGUAUCACUCAGAUGAUGCUUCGGUAACCCACUUUUUUCUUAAACAAAAAUAUACAAACCUUGAGGACUUUAAGAUUGCAUGGAUGUAGAAGAGCAAUAUGUAUAAAAAACUAUUUCCAGUUCCUUUCUUUAAGAUAACAGACAGUGAUUAAAUGUAUUAAUAAGAAGGCAUAACAUCUGUGUGGGGGACAAGGGGAGAAAUGUCAAAUUACCAGAAGAAAUCUAGAUUACUCAAUAUGUGAAGAAGAGUUUUCUUAGCAUGAGUCUUUUGUUGCCCAGCAUUUCAGGGCAUUGUCCAAAUUUCCGGCCACUAUUUUGGUUCAUGGGUCCCCAGAAGUAAGGCAUGUCAGGAGAAAAGAGCCUGGGCUCCAAAUGCACUGUCUGCUUUGCAGCUUCCAAAGGACUCUGAGUGUCCUGUCAUUAUAACCUGCAGGUAAGAAACGAAUAAUACUAAAUGGAUUAAAUACCUUAGUUGUAUGGUCAAUUUUAACAUGCCCUAGCCUGGCAUUUAAAUGUCUAAGAUUAACCAUUACAAUCCAGAACUUAUAAGACCAUCCAGCUGUCUAGCUGCCACAGGUUUAAGUACGUUUCUCUAAGCAUACUGAUGAUCAGUGUUGUAAGAAGAUGGCUGCAGAGUCAGAGAUGAUCCUACACCAAGCAACAAAAAGACAGUGAACACACAAAAGCAAAGACAUUGCAAAUACUGAUGCAACUGUAUGUGGGUGGACAGACAUAUAUAGCAUCUCCCACGGAGCAGCAACCCCAAUGCUGAAUUGUUAAUGGCUGUCUUCUACUGCACGGAGAUGAGCAUGGCACUCCCCUCUAAUUGGUUUUUAUACAUAUUUUUAUCCCAGGGCAAGGCUUAGUAAAUAUUCUUAACAUUUUGUAUGUAUUCUUAAGAGCAUUCUUAACAGCAAAAUGAAGCCCCAAACUCACUUCUUGGUGGAACAGAAAUCAGUUGAGAAUCUGCUCCUAGUGAAAGCCUGGUGCAAUUAAUGUGAGUUAAUUCACUUUAAUUGUGAAUCAUUUUGAGAGGCUGCUCAUUGAUGACUUUCAUGCCGGGAAGUCUAAAUGACUCUGUCCUACUUUCCUCAGAGGGAGAGAGUCAUUCGUGUAGGUCUUUCUGCAGCUUGAAUCCCAGCCUCCACAAAACAAGAUGUGCUAAGUAAGGCAGCAGCAUUUAGGAGCCUAAUGAAUGUGCAGACACAAGUAUGAAGACACACUUGUAAGCUGGCACUGGUAAGGAAGAGUACAUUAUUCAAUGUAUCCUCUUUGAAAAAAAAAAUCAAUAAAAUUCAUAUACAGUAUGCUCA